UGUUGUUGCCGAGCGGUGCUGUCUCUGGGAUCGGAGUAAGCUCCGAUUCCGCUGCAGAUGACAGCGCAUCGCCGCUCGGCAAUCCAUCACUGUGCAAGGAGACAGACUCCUCGACGUUUUCGUUGAACUCCGCGCCUCCAAGAAUCGGAUUUUGUCCUUCGGCUCCGACUCCGGGGUCUGAUCGUCGCCACUUGCAGUAGUUGCGCCCGUAUCAAUGGCAGACAGAAGAAGAGUAACUUAGACGCACGAGGAAUUCGUCGCUUUCGUCAGCUGAACAAAAAAACAAUAAGCCACUAAUAUAAACAGACAGUUUGUUAAACCGUACAUAUUAUAAUUUUCAGUUCAUCGGAGUGAGAUGAUUAGAUGGAGAUGGAUGAAGAUGGCUGUUUCUUCGGCGAUGGCGGCACUCUAGCUACGUUUCAC